UCUCUGCAGUAAUGGGAGUUGUCUCCUGUUAUUGCGCUCACUCAGUCUAUGCAGGAAUUGUGCAGAGACUAAGCAAUGUGUACAUCACAAUACAUUCCACUUGCAGUUACCCCUGACCCACUCUUCCACUGCACUCGAGGACUCCUGUUGUCACGGAGAUGCUGGCUUCACCAGUGCCUUCAUCGAUCUCCAAACAGGAAGAGCAAAGUGUCCCAGUCCCAGAUAUUGUUGGUAAAACGAGAGCACUGUUCUGUCAGACACUGAAGGCUGGUACAUGU